GAUGAACGCUGACAGAAUGCUUAACACAUGCAAGUCAACUUGAAUUUGGGUUUUUAACUUAGGUUUGGGUGGCGGACGGGUGAGUAACGCGUAAAGAACUUGCCUCACAGCUAGGGACAACAUUUGGAAACGAAUGCUAAUACCUAAUAUUAUGAUAAUAGGGCAUCCUAUAAUUAUGAAAGCUAUAAGCGCCGUGAGAGAGCUUUGCGUCCCAUUAGCUAGUUGGAGAGGUAACGGCUCACCAAGGCGAUGAUGGGUAGCCGGCCUGAGAGGGUGAUCGGCCACAAGGGGACUGAGACACGGCCCUUACUCCUACGGGAGGCAGCAGUGGGGAAUAUUGGACAAUGGACCGAGAGUCUGAUCCAGCAAUUCUGUGUGCACGAUGAAGUUUUUCGGAAUGUAAAGUGCUUUCAGUUGGGAAGAAACAAAUGACGGUACCAACAGAAGAAGUGACGGCUAAAUACGUG
rnacentral:rRNA from 1 species